CUGCUCCCUCUUCUCUUCUGCUUCCUGGCUAACUGUUAUUUGCGCCGACACCAACCAGCACGGCCUCCUCCAGGAAGCGGCCCCUGCUGCCCCCAUGCUGGGUUAGGACCCUUACUCCGGGCUUCCAUGGCCCUCUCUGCAGCACUUGCCACCUGCAGUAAUAAUAAUAGCUGAUACUUAUUGCGUGCUCACUCCAUGUAUUUUUCUUUAUUGACCCAUUUAACCCUCACAACCACCCAGAGAGCCAGGUUCUGUGCUCGCCUCCAUUUUUCAGACGGGUAAAAGCUUAAGUAAAUUGCCCAGGGUCACCCUCCUUGGGGAUUCGCCUCCAGGGUGGCUGGCUCCAGAGAGCUCGCCUCCAAUCCUGAGAGCUCCUCCUGCCGCCCUGAGCGAAUGUGCUGGGUGGGGGGGGGUGUGGGGGGGGGGAGGAUACUCUCUAGACUCGGGGAUCCGGGAGGGCAGCACAGCUUCUGAUCCAUCGGGAUGAGCCUCGCAGCCAGCCCAGGUGCUGGCAUCGCUGGUGCCCGACGCCCGGCGCUCCUGCCUUGCUCUCGGGCGCCGCGGGGCUGUGGGGGCCCCCGGCCGACGGGGCCUCGGGCGGUCCAGCUGGGGCGGGCUUGGGGCCAGAUGGGCUGCGCGGCGGCAGCGAGGCCAGGGCGGCCGGCCGGGCCGCGCGUUGCCAUGGAGACGGGGGGCGGCGGCCCCGCCCCAGCGGACCGGGGAGCAGGUGGCGGGACGGUGCGCAGGCUGGGGGAGGGGCCGGAAGGGGCCCGCGGGGCCGGGGCGGCCGGGCGCGCCCCCGCUCCUCCGCCUCCUCCCGGCCUCCUGGCGCCCGCUGCUCCCUAGGCGACCCGGGCUCUGCCUGGUAGCUGGAGGCUGGGGCCAGGGGACCGGGCUCCAGUCCUGGCUUGGGCUCUCACUCCUCGGGCAUAUCGGGCAAAUCACCACCUCCAUCCUCCCCCUUCCAGCCUCAGUUUCCCCAACUGUGAAAUGGAGGAGUUGGACCAGGAGCUUUCUAUGGACACUUCAGCGCAUACUACUUUUUCUGGCUCUGGGUUCGGGCCGGGAGGGUUCAGGGCUGGUAAUUUCUCAUCCUCUUCCUGGAUCGCGGCAUCUUCUCAUCAAAUGAUGCCCAUCAUGGGACCCAGAACCUGGAAAUGUGAAAGGUGGAAGAGCCAGCAAAGUCUCGGAACCCAACUUCUCGAAUAUGCAGAGCAGGCAGGGGCAGCCCAGAGAAGCUGCCAAGAUGGCAGGAAGGCUGCCUGAGAGCGCAGACCUGAGGCGGGAGCUUCCUGUCUGUCACAGAGACCCUCCUGGUUGUCCUGCCAGCACCAUACCUCAUGGUCUCCAUCGUGACUGCGGCACAGCUCUGUGGCUGCCCUGCAAGGAGGUGAGGAGGUUGUGGCCUCCCUCCACCGACUCCCACCCCUAGAGACUCAGCAGAGGGGGCGGAAGCCCGCGAAAGGAGCCGAAGGGGUAGGAACUGAUGUCCCCACCGUGGCCACUCCGUCUACCCUCCUCAGUUCAGCAAAGCUUUACCGAGCACUUCUUUGUACAGACCCUGGGAUAUAGAGACUAAAUAGACACGGUGUCCUCCUCUGUGCGGACAACAGGCACAUAAGCAGGCAAGGAUGACCUAGGGCCGGGAUGCUGAGGAAGCUGGGAUCCCACAGGAAGCCUGACUCAGGACAGGGAACUGGAGAGACUGAGACAGGGCUUCCUAGCAAUGGUGACAGGGGAGCUCGGAGGAGCAGGAGUCAGCCAGGUAGAGGGGGCAUAUGGAAGGACAAUUUGGGGAUGACACUGAAAGACCUUGAGUAUCACAGAAGGAGCUUCGCCUUUAUCCCAGGGCUGAAGGAAGUCCUCAUAGGUCUUUGGCUUCACUGGCCCUACCCCCAAAUGGCUGCCAGGUCAGACAUUCUAUGUAGGGCCCUCCUGACAGCUGCUCUUGACUCUGGGGGUGUGGGAGUCCCAGAAUUCCAUCCUCAGAAUCAGAAGGAGGUUGACAAUGCCUCAGGACCAGCCCCCCACUUGGGGUUCCUUCCUCAUCCCCACGGGCGUGGAGGGCGUGGCCAAGGUGUUGCGGUGGCAUUGAAGUUUGCUAAGGGAAGUUACUCGGCAAACAGAGUUGAGUCCAUCACUAAAUGCCUGGUGAAAUUCCUACCUUCUUACGCUUUUUAAAAAAGAUAAACAGCAGCACCUAGACCGUAAAGUCAGUUUCCUAGAAAAGUGGCUGAUGUUAGAACUGAAGAGUCGAGGUGCCCCACCCAGGAUUUCUCUCAAGUCUGGUCAUUGGCAUCUCCUCCAGGAUUUCUGCAAUAUCUUUUUACCUCAUCUGCUUAGUGUUUUUCUUUAAAUUAACUCACUUUUACAAAACUUUAUUUAACAAGGAAUCUGUAUCUGUACUUUAAAUGUUUUGGCUUUCCCAAAACAGAAGGUAAAUAUAAAAAUAAGCUCAAUGAAAACAAAGCAAUUCUACCUUAGAUGAUCAGGCCUGCUAGGAGGCCUCUCUGCUAUAAGGGGAGAUUAGCAACGUCAGAGAGGUGUUAAAGACACACCAGCCUCCAACUGGGCCUUUCUCCUUCACCUUGACUUAAUUAGAAGUAAGAACUGAAAAGGAGUAACUUUCCUGAAAUGAACUUGAGGUUGCGUGUUCUGCGUGGCCAGGUCUGUGGACUCCCUGACGUCACUCCCCAUCCCACUGGGCGUACCUGACCCACACUUUGAGAGAAUUUGCCUCAGCCCAAGCUCUUGGGUCCAGAGAGAGGAGGAGAUGGAUCCAAGGUCAUUUAACAAGGGAGGUGCCAACUGGAGCUAGGCACCUAGGAUUUUGGCCAAGGGUGGGCCAGUUGAAGAGGAGCUGGGCCUAGUGGAGACCUGGUGCAGGACAGUGAGCUCCG
rnacentral:lncRNA from 1 species